UCAAGUUAUUAAGGGUGCAGGGCGGAUGCCUUGGCACUAGGAGCCGAUGAAGGACGUGAUAAGCUGCGAUAAGCUUCGGGGAGUUGCACGUAAACUUUGAUCCGAAGAUUUCCGAAUGAGGAAACUCACUUAGAGUAAUGUCUAAGUAUCAUUAAGUGAAUACAUAGCUUAAUGAGGGGAACUCAGGGAACUGAAACAUCUAAGUACCUGAAGGAAGAGAAAGAAAUUCGAUUCCGUAAGUAGCGGCGAGCGAACGCGGAUUAGCCCAAACCAAUAAAGUUUUCUUUAUUGGGGUUGCGGACAUAUCAUAACGAAGAGGUAUCGUAAUUGAAGAGGUUUGGAAAGACUCACCACAGAAGGUAAUAGUCCUGUAUGUUAAACGAGAAGACUUUAGAUAUGAUCCAGAGUACCACGGGACACGUGAAACCCUGUGGGAAGCAGGAGGGACCACCCUCCAAGGCUAAAUACUACCUAGUGACCGAUAGCGUAUAGUACCGUGAGGGAAAGGUGAAAAGAACCCCGGGAGGGGAGUGAAAUAGAACCUGAAACCCUGCACUUACAAGCUGUGGAAGCACAUUUCUUGUGUGACCGCGUACUUUUUGUAGAACGGGCCAACGAGUUACGUUAAGUAGCAAGGUUAAGCACUUAAGGUGCGGAGCCGUAGCGAAAGCGAGUUUUAACUGAGCGUUCAGUUACUUGACGUAGACCCGAAACCGGGCGACCUACCCAUGAGCAGGAUGAAGCGAAAGUAAAAUUUCGUGGAGGUCCGAACCCACGAGCGUUGAAAAGCUCGGGAUGACUUGUGGGUAGCGGUGAAAUUCCAAUCGAGCCCGGAGAUAGCUGGUUCUCCCCGAAAUAGCUUUAGGGCUAGCCUCAAGGUGAGAGAUACGGAGGUAGAGCACUGAAUGUCCUAGGGGGUAUUGCACCUACCGAAGACUAUCAAACUCCGAAUGCCGUCAUCUUAUACUUGGGAGUCAGACUGUGGGUGAUAAGAUUCAUAGUCGAAAGGGCAACAGCCCAGAUCGUCAGCUAAGGUCCCUAAAUGUAAGUUAAGUGGUAAAGGAUGUGGGAUUGCACAGACAACCAGGAUGUUGGCUUAGAAGCAGCCACUCAUUCAAAGAGUGCGUAAUAGCUCACUGGUCGAGUGAUCCUGCGCCGAAGAUUUCCGGGGCUAAAACUUACUACCGAAGCUACGGCAUCAGUAAUGAUGGGUAGGGGAGCUUCCCAUACGGGUUGAAGCAUGACCGUAAGGACAUGUGGACAGUAUGGGAGUGAGAAUGUUGGCAUGAGUAGCGAGAUGUGGGUGAGAAUCCCACAGGCCGUAAACCCAAGGUUUCCAGGGGAAGGUUCGUCCGCCCUGGGUUAGUCGGGACCUAAGCUGAGGCCGAAAGGCGUAGGUGAUGGACAACAGGUUGAUAUUCCUGUACUACCGAUAACCAUUUGAGAGAAGGGAUGACACAGUAGGAUAAGCUAAGCACACUGUUGGUUAUGUGUGCCCAAGCAUUGAGGCAGUCAAAGUAGGCAAAUCCGCUUUGAUAAUGCUGGGAUGUGAUGGGGAGCGAAAUUUAGUAGCGAAGUAGCUGAUUUCACACUGUCAAGAAAAGUCUCUAUCGAGGUUAAAGGUACCCGUACCGCAAACCGACACAGGUGGGUGAGGAGAGUAUCCUAAGGCCAGCGAGAGAACUGUUGUUAAGGAACUCGGCAAAAUGACCCCGUAACUUAGGGAUAAGGGGUGCCACCAUCAGGUGGCCGCAGAGAAUAGGCCCAAGCGACUGUUUACCAAAAACAUAGGUUUCUGCUAAGUCGCAAGACGAUGUAUAGGAGCUGACGCCUGCCCGGUGCUGGAAGGUUAAGGGGAUCUGUUAGAGCAAUCGAAGCAGUGAACUUAAGCCCCAGUAAACGGCGGCCGUAACUAUAACGGUCCUAAGGUAGCGAAAUUCCUUGUCGGGUAAGUUCCGACCCGCACGAAAGGCGUAACGAUUUGGGCACUGUCUCAACAACAGACUCGGUGAAAUUGUAAUUCCGGUGAAGAUGCCGGAUACCUGCGACAGGACGGAAAGACCCCAUGGAGCUUUACUGUAGCUUGACAUUGGGUCUUGGUACUACAUGUACAGGAUAGGUGGGAGGCUUUGAAACCAGGACGCCAGUUUUGGCGGAGCCAUCCUUGGGAUACCACCCUUGUAGUACUGGGACUCUAACCAUAGGCCAUGAAUCUGGUCUUGGGACACUGUCAGGUGGGCAGUUUGACUGGGGCGGUCGCCUCCCAAAAGGUAACGGAGGCGCUCAAAGGUUCUCUCAGUACGGUCGGAAAUCGUACGUAGAGUGUAAAGGCAAAAGAGAGCUUGAUUGCAAGACAUACAGGUCGAGCAAGGAUGAAAAUCGGACUUAGUGAUCCGGUGGUUCUGCGUGGAAGGGCCAUCGCUCAACGGAUAAAAGCUACCCUGGGGAUAACAGGCUUAUCUCCCCCAAGAGUCCACAUCGACGGGGAGGUUUGGCACCUCGAUGUCGGCUCAUCACAUCCUGGGGCUGUAGUAGGUCCCAAGGGUUGGGCUGUUCGCCCAUUAAAGUGGUACGCGAGCUGGGUUCAGAACGUCGUGAGACAGUUCGGUCCCUAUCCGUCGCAGGCGUAGGAAAUUUGAGAAGACCUGUCCUUAGUACGAGAGGACCGGGAUGGACGUACCUCUGGUGUACCAGUUGUCCUGCCAAGGGCAUGGCUGGGUAGCUAUGUACGGAAUGGAUAAGCGCUGAAAGCAUCUAAGCGCGAAGCCAACUUCAAGAUAAGAUUUCCCACCGCAAGGGUAAGACCCCAGAAAGACUAUCUGGUUGAUAGGUCGAAGGUGUAAGUGCAGCAAUGUAUUUAGCUUAUCGAUACUAAUAGGUCGAGGACUUGACCAA
rnacentral:rRNA from 1 species